rnacentral:rRNA from 1 species
AAUCAACGCUGGCGGCGUGCCUCAGACAUGCAAGUCGAACGAUUAAACUUUCCUUCGGGAAAGAUAUAAAGUGGCGCACGGGUGAGUAACACGUAAGUAAUCUACCUUCGAGUGGGGAAUAACAUCGGGAAACCGAUGCUAAUACCGCAUAAUGCAGCGGCAUCGAAAGAUGACAGUUGUUAAAGGAGCAAUUCGCUUGAAGAGGAGCUUGCGGCAGAUUAGCUAGUUGGUAAGGUAAUGGCUUACCAAGGCUACGAUCUGUAUCCGGUCUAAGAGGACGGUCGGACACACUGACACUGAAUAACGGGUCAGACUCCUACGGGAGGCAGCAGUCGGGAAUUUUGGGCAAUGGGCGAAAGCCCGACCCAGCAACGCCGCGUGAAGGAUGAAGUAUUUCGGUAUGUAAACUUCGAAAGAAUGGGAAGAACUCAAUGACGGUACCAUUUAUAAGCUCCGGCUAACUACGUGCCAGCCGCCGCGGUAAAAC